AUUGAACUCUGGCGGCAGGCCUAACACAUGCAAGUCGAGCGGAGCGGCGGACGGGUGAGUAAUGCCUAGGAAUCUGCCUGGUCGUUGGGGCUAACGUCCGGAAACGGGCGCUAAUCCCGCAUACUAUCAGAUUAGCCUAGGUCGGAUUCGCUAGUUGGUGGGGUAAAGGCCUACCAAGGCGACGCUCCGUAACUGGGCUGAGAGGAUGAUCAGUCAAACUGGAACUGGGACACGGUCCAGACUCCUACGGGAGGCAGCAGUGGGGAAUAUUGGACAAUGGGCGAAAGCCUGAUCCAGCCAUGCCGCGUGUGUGAAGAAGGUCUUCGGAUUGUAAAGCACUUUAAGUUGGGAGGCGUUACCAACAGAAUAAGCACCGGCUAACUUCGUGCCAGCAGCCGCGGUAAUAC
rnacentral:rRNA from 1 species